CGUCUUGAAUUGCGGCCCCUGCCGGCGUAUCUAUGCCGUGUCCCCUCGGGGACUAUUGACAUAAACGCGCGUGGAAUAAGCGGAUCGGACCCGGGGGCGGUACCCGGCGGCUCCACCAUAAACCCUCGUUGGGGGAUCAUGGGGCCGAAACAGGAUCGACGAACGUGUAAAGACGUGGCUUUGUCCCGGUGAGAUACCACCGUUAUCGGUUCACAAAGCAUAAUUGCCAACGACAAUCGUGCUCCGGUCGCAGUUGCCGCUUAAUGCGGUUCCAGUGAUCGAAAUUUAAGCCCAGUCCUCUAGCAAGGGCUGGCGGGGUUCGCAGGCACCUGGCAACAGAAGCCUGCACU
rfam:Rhodobacteraceae bacterium HLTCCO18 ITZY_scaf_260, whole genome shotgun sequence.